AUGCCGCCGGCGACGGCGCUGAUGGACGAUGUGGUCGCGGAGAUCCUGCUCCGCCUCCCGCCCGACGAGCCCGGGUGCCUUGUCCGCGCCUGCCUCGUCUCCAAGCCCUGGCGCCGCCUCCUCACGGGUAACGCCUUCCUCCGCAGCUACCGCAAGUUCCACGGGGCACCGCCCAUGCUGGGAUUCCUCCACCGCCUCUACGACGAGGAUCCCUGCGUCGCUCGAUUCGUCCCCACCGCGAAGGCCUUCCGCCCGCCACGCACCGACCGCCGCUGCUGGUACGCACUCGAUGCCCGCCACGGCCGAGCCCUCUUCUACGAUUCAGAAUCAGAUCAGAAGCCCGCUGAGUUCGUCGUCUGGGACCCCGUCACGGACGGGCACCGGAGGAUUCCCCUUCCCGAGACCCCCAAGUCCUGGAACGCGGCGGUGCUCUGCGUCGUGGAUGGCUGCGACCACCUCGACUGCCAUGGCGACGACCCCUUCCUCGUGGCAUUCGUGGGCACCGACAAGGAGGAGGGGAUCUGGAUCACGUCCGCGUGCUUCUACUCGUCAGAGGCGAGUUCAUGGAGCAACACGAGCUUUGUUGAGCAUCCGGAUGCUUCCAUCGAGAUGCAGCCAAGCGUCCUCUCUGGAAAUGCAGUCUACUUCCUGUGCGAUCCGAGCACUCGAAUUCUGCAGUGCGACUUUGUUGGCGAGAGGAAGCUAUCGGUGAUUGACCGGCCGGACGUGCAUGAGAAUAACAUCGUCCUCAUAACAGCGGAGGACGGCACACUGGGAUUUGCAGGCGUGCAGGAAUCCAGCAUUUACCUCUGGUCCAUGGAAGUCGAUCCCGAUGGAGCUGCAGCGUGGGUACAACAUCGAGUCGUCGACCUCGGGAAGCUGCUCCCCUCUCGCGCCCUCAUGAUCAUGCCCGAUGUGAGUGGAUUCGCCCAAGGCGCCGGUGUCAUUUUCGUGAGGACUAUUGUUGGCCUGUUCACCAUCGAGCUCAAGUCCGGCCGAGUAAGAAAGGUGUCCAGCAGGGGAAGGGUCUGCACUGCCAUUCCCUACACUAGCUUCUACACUCCAGAUCGUGCUAUCCGUCAAUUGAACGGCCAGUGA
rnacentral:rRNA from 1 species